rnacentral:rRNA from 1 species
CCUACGGGCGGCUGCAGUGGGGGAUAUUGCACAAUGGGGGAAACCCUGAUGCAGCGACGCCGCGUGAGUGAAGAAGUAUUUCGGUAUGUAAAGCUCUAUCAGCAGGGAAGAAAAUGACAGUACCUGACCAAGAAGCCCCGGCUAACUACGAGCCAGCAGCCGCGGUAAUACGUAGGGGGCAAGCGUUAUCCGGAUUUACUGGGUGUAAAGGGAGCGUAGACGGUUAUGUAAGUCUGGAGUGAAAGCCCGGGGCCCAACCCCGGGACUGCUUUGGAAACUGUGUAACUGGAGUGCAGGAGGGGCAGGCGGAAUUCCUGGUGUAGCGGUGAAAUGCGUAGAUAUCAGGAGGAACACCGGCGGCGAAGGCGGCCUGCUGGACUGAAACUGACGUUGAGGCUCGAAAGCGUGGGGAGCAAACAGGAUUAGAUACCCCAGUAGUC